rnacentral:rRNA from 1 species
GACGAACGCUGGCGGCGUGCUUAACACAUGCAAGUCGAACGGAAAGGCCCUGCUUUUGUGGGGUGCUCGGGUGGCGAACGGGUGAGUAACACGUGAGUAACCUGCCCUUGACUUUGGGAUAACUUCAGGAAACUGGGGCUAAUACCGGCUAGGAGCUCCUGCUGCAUGGUGGGGGUUGGAAAGUUUCGGCGGUUGGGGAUGGACUCGCGGCUUAUCAGCUUGUUGGUGGGGUAGUGGCUUACCAAGGCUUUGACGGGUAGCCGGGCUGAGAGGGUGACCGGCCACAUUGGGACUGAGAUACGGCACAGACUCCUACGGGACGCAGCAGUGGGGAAUAUUGCACAAUGGGCGGAAGCCUGAUGCAGCAACGCCGCGUGCGGGAUGACGGCCUUCGGGUUGUAAACCGCUUUCGCCUGUGACGAAGCGUGAGUGACGGUAAUGGGUAAAGAAGCACCGGCUAACUACGUG